CCGUAAGGCUGGGGGUGCCUGGCGAAUGGCCGGGCUGAGAGACACCCUUCGAACCUGAUCCGGCUGAUACCGGCGUAGGGAAGCUGAGCUUUCGAGCC
rnacentral:ncRNA from 2 species